UCUGAGGAAAAGAAACCAACAGGGAUUGCCUCAGUAGCGGCGAGUGAAGCGGCAAAAGCUCAAAUUUGAAAUCUGGCGUCUUUGGCGUCCGAGUUGUAAUUUGAAGAAGGUAUCUUUGGGCCCGGCUCUUGUCUAUGUUCCUUGGAACAGGACGUCACAGAGGGUGAGAAUCCCGUGCGAUGAGAUGACCCGGGUCUGUGUAAAGUUCCUUCGACGAGUCGAGUUGUUUGGGAAUGCAGCUCUAAGUGGGUGGUAAAUUCCAUCUAAAGCUAAAUAUUGGCGAGAGACCGAUAGCGAACAAGUACAGUGAUGGAAAGAUGAAAAGAACUUUGAAAAGAGAGUGAAAAAGUACGUGAAAUUGUUGAAAGGGAAGGGCUUGAGAUCAGACUUGGUAUUUUGCAUGCUGCUCUCUCGGGGGCGGCCGCUGCGGUUUACCGGGCCAGCAUCGGUUUGGAGCGGCAGGAUAAUGGCGGAGGAAUGUGGCACGGCUUCUGCUGUGUGUUAUAGCCUCUGACGAUACUGCCAGCCUAGACCGAGGACUGCGGUUUUUAACCUAGGAUGUUGGCAUAAUGAUCUUAAGUCGCUCGUCUA
rnacentral:rRNA from 1 species